rnacentral:lncRNA from 1 species
UGGGCUACAAAAAAAUGUGCCCCUGGAUCACUUUCUGGACUGAGGGUGUGAAUAGGAAGUUUCCAACUUGGACGGCCAUCACUGGCGGUAUCCACCUUGGGAUGAAGCUGAUACUGCAGAGAGCAGCCAGCAGGAUUGGAAAGUACCAGGGUGUGUGAUGCUGCUGCUAAGCCACAGCCUGUUCUUCUUCUGGGUGCCCAGGGAUGUGAGACUUCCAGUGUGCUGUCAGUUAAGUCGCUGUUUUACUGGUGUCUCUGCUACUUGCAGCUAUGAGCAUCUUGAUAGAU